AAAACGGAGGAAAAGAAAAUAACAAUGAUUCCCCUAGUAACGGCGAGUGAACAGGGAAAAGCUCACAGUUGGAACCUAGCUGCCUUAGGUAGUUCGGAUUGUAAACUGAAAAAGUGUUAUCCAGGCUAGCCGAGUAAAUAAGUUUCUUGGAACAGAACAUCAUGGAGGGUGAGAAUCCCGUCUUUGGCUUGAGCAUAGUCUUUUGUGUUGCACUUUAACGAGUCAGGUUGUUUGGGAAUGCAGCCUAAAGUGGGAGGUAAAUCCCUCCUAAAGCUAAAUAUUGGCGAGAGACCGAUAGCAAACAAGUACCGUGAGGGAAAGAUGAAAAGAACUUUGAAAAGAGAGUUAAACAGUAUGUGAAAUUGCUAAAAGGGAAGCGUUUGAAGACAGACUAGCUUGGUUAUAAUCAGCCUGGAUUUUUCUUGGUGUACUUGUAGCCUAUGCUUGUCAACAGCAGUUUGGUUUGGCUGAAAAAACUGAUAGUAAGGUGGCUCUCUUCGGGGAGUGUUAUAGACUGUUAGAAAAUCAGUUGGACUGGACUGAGGAAUGCAAUGCAGCUUGCCUUGGGGUGAACCAGAUUGGAUAGGAACCAUUGUUCUUUGAAGGUUUGGGUAGCUCUUCGAACUGUAUUUAGGUUGUUGGCUUAAUGUCUUUAAACGGCCCGUUUAAA
rnacentral:rRNA from 1 species